rnacentral:tRNA from 1 species
AAUUUCGUGGUGUAGUGGUCAGCACGCUUGACGUCUAUUCGAGAAGCCGUGGUUCGAAUCCCUGCGAAGGCA